UGGAGAGAGACCACACUGGAAUAAACAAGACGCUGAACUCAGGGGAGCCUGGGAGAGCCCUGGGUGGCUGGGAAGAGGGUCGUGUACUACAGCACUCAGGGCAUAGGGGGAAGCACCUGUCAAUUAUGGGAAUGACAUAUAAACAAUUGUUUAUAAAAAACUUUUGGAAAGUAAUUCGGACAAAUUGUCUUAAAAGGAAAUAGAUGCUAUGUGGGAUGAUGUUAAAGAAGUUAGCUGAGUGCUAAUAUACUAAAUAGUAGUGUAGUUAUCUAGUUUGGAGCUUUAUCUUUUUUAAGAUGUAAACCCACAGGCCCUGCUAAAAGGAUGGGUUUAGGCAGUCAGGUUUGUACUAUGGAACCCACACACCCCUGUCCCCCCAAGAUUGCACUAAGGAUGUGGAAACCGGAUCUAAGCUGAAGUAAUUAGAUUUUCUUAGUUUCUUAAUGACCCCAAAAUGAUGGUCCAUUGAUGUUGAGUUUGGUCCAGUGCCCCAGCUGGGUUUGGCUUCGAAGGGUAGAAAGCAAAAAUUAUAAUGCCUCCACAAGAUGGAAACUCCCUCUUCUCUCACAUAAGCGGAGGCAAUCCAGGGCUCCCAUGGCAAGCUGUUUCAUUGCCAUCAAGGACCCAGGCUUCUUCUGUCCUGCUGCUCUCCCGUCUUUCAAUGAGUGCUUCUAAGCAGUGGUGUGCUGGUAAACUCAUCCUCGGAGCGGGGACCGGAGGGCUGAUUUGUAGCAUUUGCCUGAUGCCUAUGUUGGAAAUAUUCCCUGAAUGGCCCAUUUCAAGCUACCAGUGGUUUAAUAACCAGUUUGCAAAGUUACCGAAUGUUCAGCAUUCUUCUCUUCUGAGCCCAUGAGCCAGCUCUAGCAUACGCCUGCUUCUUCCUCAUGGUCCAGAAUGGCUGCCCCAUCUCCAGACAUCAGAACUGCAUUGCAACCAGUAGAAUGGAGGAAAUCAAAAGGGAAGCAAACCUCCUCCUUUUUAAGGAUAUCUUCCAGAAGUUGUGCACAGCCCUUCUGCUUAAAUCCCAUGGGACAGAACUUAAUCAUAUGACCACAUUUACUUGGGAAAGGUAUGUUUUAUUCUGCGGUUCCAUGUACUCAGCUGGAAUUUGGGUGUUCUGUUACUAAAGAAGAAGAGGGUAAUAAAUUGGGGGGAGAAUGAGUCUCUCACUAAUGGUAACACCUGGUUCCACAUAAAUGUCUAAGUUAAUGAGGAGACAGAAGCCCAUGUUAAAAACUUCAUUUUCAGAGUGAGAGGGAGUGGAUUACAGCCAGCAUGAUCCACGUAGCUUCAGAGAGGGAGAAAAUAGCUGCUUAUUAUUUAGAUUUUAGGGUAAUCAGUGAUAAUACCCCUUUCCCUCCUGAGUUGGAAUCAGUGGAGAGGCAGAUACAUAAGGCAGAAGGAGAUAAAAGUGUCAACUUUAUUACUGAUUAAAGAGUUUGGAGAACUUUGACCCUGCAGCAGCAAAGGGCUCACUAACUUCACCCCCAAAAUAAACUUCUGCACCUGUCCAAGCAGAGUUGAAAAACUACAGUGCUGCCACCCUCCUUGCCCUCAUUUCUCCCUGCCAUAGGCACCUGCCCUUGACUGUGCCCUGUAGGAGCCCCCUCCUCCCCAAAAAGAGCAAGGGGCUACCCUAAGCAUGUACUUUCUUCUCCCAGAUUCACCCUUCAGAAAGUUAAGAGUGAUUGAGGAGUAGGGAGAGAGGCCAGGAAGUGCCCAUCCAUAUUAAAACAGGAGGAAUAAGUUCUCCUGUCUAACACUUGAGCUCUUUCAGACCCGCGGAGGUUUAGCUAAUCAUCCUGCAGUUGGGUUAUGUGAAAUCCCUCUGAAUCCUCACUGCUAUCUGUGUUUACUUAAACGGGCACAGAUGGUUUCUCUUCCAACACAAUGGUCCCUAAUGAAAAAGUAUAAUGAAGGGCUAUCUUGGGGGCAGACACUGAAUGCUGUAGGAGUUCCCAAGAACAUUUAUAAGAGAGGGUUGGAGCAGACAAAGGAUGUUUCCUGGAAGUGGUAAAACUUGAACACGUUCUUAAAGUCUGGGCAGGGUUUUUAAUAGGCUGAGGGAAGGGAGGUGUUUCAAUCAAGGGGAAUUUGAUGGAGGAAACAAGAAUCGGGGAGUGGACAUGGCACGGUCAAGACGCGGGGAGGAGACCAUAAAGGUUCUCGCUGUGGUACCUGCUGGAGAGCAGUGGGCAGUGGAGAUGGAAUUAGAAAGAAGAGAUCUUGGGGACGCUGUCUGAGCAGCCUAUCAGAGGAGCAGUGGAUGGAGAUGGAAAUUUGCAGCCAUUGAAGAAAAACAAAAUACGGUAUUUUUCACAGAUUAUUCUGGAGGAAGAAUGACUCCUUGAACAUUUCACGUGCAUGGACCAACAGAUCCCCUUGUUUUUGGUUUAAUCCAGUUAAAUAGUCCUAAUAAAUAGCCCUGACUAAUACCUUCCACUUAUAGGUCAUGAGGAAGUGACUCUCAGCCUUUUGUGUCCAUUAGAAUAACCUGGAAGACUUGUGAACACACAGAUUGCUCGAUCCCACCCCCAAGUUUCUGAUGCAGUAGCUCUGGGUUGGGGCUCAAGGAUUCUCACUUUUGGAAGGUCCUAGGUGCUGCUGCUACCGCUGCUGGUCCAGGAAGCACACUUUGAGAACUGCUAGGAUGCAGGCUGGCCUGGGAUGCCUCCUGUCUGGUUUUGAAUGAAUGAAUGAACGCAUGAGAAUGAAUUCCCUAAACCAUAACAUGAGAGCUUAGAUGAGAUGAUCUCUGAGGUCUUUUUGAGUCUAUGCUUCUGCUAAACCACAGGUGACCCCAUGCAUAUUUUUCUCACAUAAUAAAAACUUCAAUGUUUACUGAAAUCCCCUGUGUGUGUAUUAAUUUUUCAUAUUCCAUGAGGGCUGCUAGCCUGACAUAGGUGGGAAUCUAAAGGCAUGUGACUGGACUCGAGAUGCUUUCUCAAGAGAGAAGACCCCCUUAACAUGGGCCUUCCACAUUUCACACUCAAGAAAAGAAAAAAGAAAAACAAAAGUAGCAGCUAUUUCAAAUAAUGUCCACUCAACUUUAGCAGGUAAAAAGAGAAGGGAUGAGCUCUUUUCUGUAAAGGAAAAGUGCAUUUGACCCAAGACCUGAAGCUUUGCAGAGCACUCAUUCAAACUGUUAAAAAUAUUCAGCCUUAAGAAAAUGUUGACCUGAUUCAGAACUGUCCAAAGACAAUCAUCUGGACGUUGGGCCCACUGGGUCAGAGGCUUCCUAGCUCAAACUCAGCGCAGAGGACCGUAGCCAGCUGAUCAGCCCCAGAUGCCGGACAAUUAGUCGAGCUAUGCAGCACCACAGCUCUCCCUGCUCUUCGUGGCUGAGAGAAGGUGGACUGAGCAGGGACAGCUGCGGGCAGUCACCUAGUGGACCCUUCCAGACUAGAGGUUUCCUGGGUUUCACCGGGAAGGAUCUUCCUGUGCAGCUCCCCAUCCAGGGGAUGAGGAAGAGAGGUGAUGUGUCCAAGGCAACCGGAUGACAGGGACAUGCAGCCCUUAGCAGCGGCGGCAAGAUUCUGAGGCAUCAGCAGAGCAUUGAAGUUUCUUCUCUUUUUCAAGAGGCUGGGCUCCUCAGGCUCAGAUUCUGAGAUGAAGGAGUUUGAUCGGGGAGUGCUCGUGGGAACAACACCUGUGGAGGGGUGAGGACUGCAGAGGGAGCAGGUGAACGGCAGCACAGCUGCAGAAGCCUUGUCAACCAGCCUUCUGGGCUUGGACAGCACAGGAGUGAGAAGUAGCUCAGACCACGGAGUGUGGGCUGCCCCCGGGAGGAGGCAUAACCCCAGACAGAUGUACUGGCUGCCCCACAGGUCUGUGACAUGGAAGCUGUGUGUGGAGGACGGCAGAAGACAGAGGUAGAGGGUAGGUUCCUUGGGAUGGACAGAGACCCCAUGUCAGCUUUGGACUGUUUGC